AAUAGAUACCCAGGUAGUCCAUGCCGUAAACGUUGGGCACUAGGUGUGGGGGACAUUCCACGUUUUCCGCGCCGUAGCUAACGCAUUAAGUGCCCCGCCUGGGGAGUACGGCCGCAAGGCUAAAACUCAAAGGAAUUGACGGGGGCCCGCACAAGCGGCGGAGCAUGCGGAUUAAUUCGAUGCAACGCGAAGAACCUUACCAAGGCUUGACAUGGACCGGACCGCCGCAGAAAUGUGGUUUCCCCUUUGGGGCCGGUUUACAGGUGGUGCAUGGUUGUCGUCAGCUCGUGUCGUGAGAUGUUGGGUUAAGUCCCGCAACGAGCGCAACCCUCGUUCUAUGUUGCCAGCGGUUCGGCCGGGGACUCAUAGGAGACUGCCGGGGUCAACUCGGAGGAAGGUGGGGACGACGUCAAGUCGGCAUGGCCCUUACGCCUGGGGCUACACCCAUGCUACAAUGGGGCGGACAGAGGGCUGCAAGACCGCAAGGUGGAGCGAAUCCCGAAAACCGUCUCGUCAGUUGGAAUUGGGUCUGCACUGACCCAUGAACGUGAAUCGCU
rnacentral:rRNA from 1 species